GCCCAUUUUCCUGAAUUUUCAGUUCACAGGGACAACUGCUUUGAUGUGACUGGGAUGACUUCUUCCUAAUUAGAGCUGCAAAGGUAACUGAGGAUGAAGAUCCCUUUCGUUCAUUGGUCGUGGAUGGUUCUCAGCCUUUACACGGCAAAUGCUAUCUGGUGCUACAGUUGUGAAAAGGAAAUGGGGUCUUGCGGCAUUCUGUCCGAAUUCUGUUGGGCAGGUGCAGAAUCAGGAUGCUUCACAAUGAACCUCUAUAUUGGAGGUUCCAUGAUCAGUACUGAAGUUGGUUGUCUCCAAGGCUGCAAAAAUUACACAUCAGAGUCUUUCUUCAUGUGGCAUGAAUAUACUUGCUGUUUCACAGACUAUUGCAAUGCUUAGACUGAGAGUGGGAGGCUAUUGCUGGUUGGAGAACCAAGAAUCCCUCCCUGCUUGACCCUCUGAGUUGAUUCAAAUUUGUGCCUUAACGUAUAAAUGGACUUUUCCAAGUUGAAUUAAUGUUUAUAUGAUGUCCUUCAGCCCCUUCACAGGAGGAAUGAAUAGUUAUGAAAAGAUGGUGGGGAAGGCAAUGCAUUUGUAGUGUUAAAUGAUCAUUUGGUACAGCAGCAUCUUACUGACACUGCCAUAUUUUUUGCCAAUCUGGUAUAUUUCAGAUCUGUAGCUCAUUUUGGCCCCAGGCAGCACAGCAAGAGCAGAUGGGGGAGAUACAGUUCAAAGCAUUUGAAGGAUAUAGGAUUGCUUUAGUUCAUAGUCCUGGAGUUUCAGUGCCAUAGGGAAANUGAGGUCUUUUAAUACUGUCACUUGUGUUGGGUUACUGCAUGUGUACUCUGGUCUNGAACCAUCAAUAAAUAAAUUCAAUUCAGCUGGUUUUUGUCUUCC
rnacentral:lncRNA from 1 species